rnacentral:rRNA from 1 species
UACGUAGGGAGCAAGCGUUGUUCGGAUUUACUGGGCGUAAAGGGCGCGUAGGCGGCGCGACAAGUCACUUGUGAAAUCUCCGGGCUUAACUCGGAACGGCCAAGUGAAACUGUCAUGCUAGAGUGCAGAAGGGGCAAUCGGAAUUCUUGGUGUAGCGGUGAAAUGCGUAGAUAUCUGGAGGAACACCGGUGGCGAAGGCGGCAUCCUGGACCGGUAUUGACGCUGAGGCGCGAAAGCCAGGGGAGCAAACAGG